rnacentral:tRNA from 1 species
GGCCCCGUAGCUUAGUUGGUCGAGUGUGCGUUGUACAAAAGCGUAGGCGGCGUCUACGCGUGUGGGUUCGAAUCCCACCGAGGCUA